GGAAGUAAAAGUCGUAGCAAGGUCUCCGUUGGUGAACCAGCGGAGGGAUCAUUACAGAGUUGCAAAACUCCCAAACCAUUGUGAUCGUUACCUAUCCCGUUGCUUCGGCGGGCGGCCCGGGCCCCGCACCCGGCGCCCCCCGGCCCCCCGUGGGCGCCCGCCGGAGGUAAACCAAACCCUUGAAUUGCAUGGCCUCUCUGAGUCUUCUGUACUGAAUAAGUCAAAACUUUCAACAACGGAUCUCUUGGUUCUG
rnacentral:misc_RNA from 1 species